AGAUCAUGGAGAACUUUGUAUUGAAGAUCCAAGAGAGAAAAGAAGCCAUUUAGCUACUAGCUAUGGACCCGAAGGUCUAUGGUGAACUACUCACGCAUCAUGGAGAGGUCAUGGUGUUGAUGAAGAAGCCCUCCGUAUCCGAAUCCCCCCUCCGACAGGGCACCAAAACGUGCCCCAGAUGGGAUCUUACAGAGACAGAAGCUUGCGGCGGCGGAAAAGUAUUUUCGUGUAUCUCCUCGGCAGUUUUGGAUAUUUCAGGAAUUUAUAGGCGGAAGCGGUAGGGUAGACGAGCCACAGGGGGCCCACAAGCCAGCUAGGUGCGGCCCCCCUGGCCGCGCCUAGGGGGCUUGUGGAGUCCCCUGGUGGCCUCUGCCUUGGUUCUCACGUCCCGUGCGUAUCUUCUGUUCCGAAAAAAAAUCUUUUCGGAAGUUUUAUUCCGUUUGG
rnacentral:lncRNA from 1 species